AAGCACAUCAGAGUUUGUCAUUUCAUUCCAUCAUGCUGCUCUGUGCAGUUGUAAUAUUUUCAGUACUUGCAGGAGACUCUCUUGGUGAUCUAAUAACGUCUCGUGAUUCUGAAAAACAAGCUCAAGAUGGUAACAGUGUUACUCUCUCCUGCAACUACACUGGUGCUGUUUAUAAUCUACUGUGGUAUCGUCAGUAUCAAACAUCCAAACCAGAACUCCUUCUCUCCAUGACUGAAUCUGGAGAACCAAUUAAAGAAGAUCCAUCCGCCCACUGGUUAUCUGCUAAAGCUGACAAACUCACAAAACUCAUGGAACUGGAAAUCAGCCCUGCUAAAGUAUCAGACUCUGCACAGUAUUACUGUGCCCUGCGGCCCACAGUGACGAGAAACCCUUUUCCUCUGCACAAAAUCUUUUUGCAUAUUACUCGUGCUAGUCAUUCAUUGAUGUCUAACGUGCACAUGUAAUCUAUACUAUGUAUUAUUCCUGUGACUGCAUCAGCCAUCAGUAACAGCAUCUCUUCAUGAGUCCACAAGGAUCAAUACAACACAUAUUUCCAUAGAUAGGUGGAGCUUAAUGUGGAAUAGAGCAGAAGAGCUCAAAGAGACGUGAUACACCUACUUACAGAUCAUUAAAUUCAAACUACAUACAACGAUGAUCAUCAUCUGCUCUGUUUUGACAUUUGUCUUGAGUUUGAGUUAUGGUAAACCACAAACUUUUUACACCUUUUAUUAAUUGUAUAUUAUUAUAUUAAUGUAAAGCUUUAUAAUAUUGAUAACACUGGAUUGUUCAUCUACAUUGCAGGUGAAGCUAAUAAGAGUCCUGUCAGUUCAGAUAAAGCAUCUGUGUCUUUAAACGAAGGCAGUAAUGCUACUCUGUCCUGUACAUUUGAUGAAUCAGCUUACCGUCUCCACUGGUA